GUAGAAUGGAGCCGGGAUCUUUACUUUAAACCUGAUUUUCAGGUGGACGAUAAUUUUGAUCUGGUUGAUGGUGCACCAACAAUUUCUCGAAAAGGAAACAUCGAGGAGAAUGAAAACAGAGGGGAACCCGGUGAUUUACAAUCUCAAAAAACGGGGGUAGUCAGUCGUCUCUUAAUAGUACAAAAGCCAUCGAUAAUGCUGAAGAAUUUGAGAGUCUUAAACAGAAGAAGGAGACGAAA